UAUUGCCGUCUUCUUGAUGUCGUUAGGA
rnacentral:sRNA from 1 species